CAAGUUUCAAUGUGUCAAUUGGGCAUGUUGCCUUUGUAGUUGGUGGACAUGGUUUUUUCCCUUUAGGUGAUGGGGUAAUUACUGGUGGAACUGUGACAGGUGGAAGCCCAAUAGGUGGCAACUUGAUGGGGGGUUUGACAACUGGUGGUAAAGUGAUAGGCGGUUUUACAACUGGUGGAACUGUGACAGGUGGAAUUCCAAUAGGUGGCAAAUUGAUAGGCGGUUUUACAACCGGUGGUAAAGUAAUAGGCGGUUUUACAACUGGUGGAACUGUGACGGGUGGAAGUCCAAUAGGUGGCAAAUUGAUAGGCGGUUUUACAACUGGUGGAACUGUGACGGGCGGAAUUCCAAUAGGUGGCAAAUUGAUAGGGGGUUUGACAAUGGGAGAGGGAGUUUUGGGCUUCUUGGUCUUGGGCUUGUGAGAAGGUUUACCACAAUAGCCACAACCAAGAAUGGGAGUUAAAG
rnacentral:lncRNA from 1 species